rnacentral:tRNA from 1 species
GCGCUUGUAGCUCAACUGGAUAGAGCGUCAGAUUCCGGUUCUGAAGGCUACGGGUUCAAGUCCUGUCAAGCGCGCCA